UCUGCUGUUCAUUACAGAUUAAAAAGUGUCCCAGAAUAUCAAACAAUUCUAUUCACUGGCGACACAAUCUCCAUAACUGAAUUUAAAGACAAAAUUAUGGAGAAAAACACCACACAAAACCGACCAAGCAGCUUCGAUCUUCACAUUAAGGACGAACAUUCUGGACGAGGUUAUUUCCUUAUCCUACUGCAUAGUCUAUGACGAAAAGAACACACUGAUCCCCAAGAAUUCAAAACUCGUCAUAUCACGUAUUCCCUUGAAGGACAACAGCAAACAGACCAAGACUAUAGUAAGGACAUUACCAAAACUCAGUUCUACCACUCCCAACCCUCCACGUACACAACCGACCCCUGUAAACCUAAGAAACGAAUAUCCGACCUA